rnacentral:ncRNA from 1 species
CAAAAAUCAUUGAUAGAGAGAGUAACGAAUAAUAAGCAUUUUAGAGAGCGAUUGGUUGGUGGAAAAUCGUAGGUCUAUUAUUUGUGAAAGUAACUCUGGAGAUGCACAAGUGACGUUAGAAGUUUGUGCCGGCGAUCCCCGUUAUCGGAUAAUGCGCUUCACUAUUAGUGAGUCGCUAAGAGAUUGUUUAUUCAUAAACAAAAAAAACGGUGGUACCGCAAUGUCAAUUGCCCGUUGG